AUGCGAAAAAGCCUCUACCCAGCCUAUCAUCCAUACAGAUGUUGGCGGUCUUACCCUUGGCCAUCUGCAGUGUCUUGGUCACGGUGUCUGCCAUUCUCAGGGAGUAGACCCCAACUACAAAACACUCUGGACAGAGCCCCGGGGAAACCCGUCGCUUCCUGCUCUACCCAUGACCCCCAUCCACACCCGCCCCUCCCCUCCCAUGGACACAGCUGCAGUCCUGUCACACCCAGAAAGGGCCUGGCCCAGGUGGACAGGAACUCGGGCCGACAUUUCUCAAGAUGUCUGGCCCCUCUCCUCCCUUGCAGAAUGAAUCAACUCUUCCGUGUUCUCUCCUCUCUAGACAAUUGCCACCCAUGGUGACGGCCCACCUAAGAGGGAUAGCAUACUUUUAUACUUAAAAGUCUUUUAGGUACAUGUUCAAAAAGCGAUCUAAAAUACAUGUCUUUCUGGGACGCCUGGGUGGCUCAGUUGGUUAAGCAGCUGCCUUCGGCUUAGGUCAUGAUCCCAGCGUCCUGGGAUCGAGUCCCACAUCAGGCUCNNNNN
rnacentral:lncRNA from 1 species